rnacentral:rRNA from 1 species
UACGUAGGGGGCGAGCGUUAAUCGGAAUUACUGGGCGUAAAGCGUGCGCAGGCGGUGAUGUAAGAGAGGUGUGAAAUCCCCGGGCUCAACCUGGGAACUGCAUCUGUGACUGCAUCGCUGGAGUGCGGCAGAGGGGGAUGGAAUUCCGCGUGUAGCAGUGAAAUGCGUAGAUAUGCGGAGGAACACCGAUGGCGAAGGCAAUCCCCUGGGCCUGCACUGACGCUCAUGCACGAAAGCGUGGGGAGCAAACAGG